AAUUUAUUUUUAAUGGAGCCAAUAACUCUUUCUACGUGGAUUCUAACCUGUGCAAUGUUUCUAGUUUCUUCCAGCUCUAGUGGAAGCAAUUGUUUUUUCCCCUUGGUAAAAGCUGGAAUUACUAGCUUUGCUUGUAACACAUCUAAAAAUUC
rnacentral:lncRNA from 1 species